rnacentral:rRNA from 1 species
AGUGAACGCUGGCGGUAGGCCUAACACAUGCAAGUCGAACGGCAGCACAGUAAGAGCUUGCUCUUACGGGUGGCGAGUGGCGGACGGGUGAGGAAUACAUCGGAAUCUACUUUUUCGUGGGGGAUAACGUAGGGAAACUUACGCUAAUACCGCAUACGACCUACGGGUGAAAGCAGGGGAUCUUCGGACCUUGCGCGAUUGAAUGAGCCGAUGUCGGAUUAGCUAGUUGGCGGGGUAAAGGCCCACCAAGGCGACGAUCCGUAGCUGGUCUGAGAGGAUGAUCGGCGGCACUGGAGGUGAGACACGGUCCAGACUCCUACGAGAGGCAGCAGUGGGGAAUAUGAGACAAUAGGGGCGAGCAUGGUCCAGCCAUACCGCGUGGGUGAAGGAGGCCUUCGGGUUGUAAAGCCCUUUUGUUGGGAAAGAAAAGCAGCAGGUUAAUACCCCGCUGUUCUGACGGUACCCAAAGAAUAAGCACCGGCUAACUACGUG